AGGUAACACGGUAAAUGCCACAAC
rnacentral:siRNA from 1 species